rnacentral:rRNA from 1 species
UACGGGGGGGGCAAGCGUUGUUCGGAAUUACUGGGCGUAAAGGGCUCGUAGGUGGCCAACUAAGUCGGACGUGAAAUCCCUCAGCUUAACUGGGGAACUGCGUCCGAUACUGGAUGGCUCGAGUUUGGGAGAGGGAUGCGGAAUUCCAGGUGUAGCGGUGAAAUGCGUAGAUAUCUGGAGGAACACCGGAGGCGAAGGCGAGUCUCUGGACGACACCUGACACUGAGGCACGAAAGCUAGGGGAGCAAACAGG